rnacentral:rRNA from 1 species
UACGGGGGGGGCAAGCGUUGUUCGGAAUUACUGGGCGUAAAGGGCUCGUAGGCGGCCAACUAAGUCAGACGUGAAAUCCCUCGGCUUAACCGGGGAACUGCGUCUGAUACUGGAUGGCUUGAGGUUGGGAGAGGGAUGCGGAAUUCCUGGUGUAGCGGUGAAAUGCGCAGAUAUCAGGAGGAACACCAGUGGCGAAGGCGGCUCACUGGCCCGAAUGACUGACGCUGAUGCACGAAAGCGUGGGAGCGAACAGG